GUGCACGCUGGCGGUAGGCCUAACACCUGCAAGUCGAACGGCAGCACAGUAAGAGCUUGCUCUUACGGGUGGCGAGUGGCGGACGGGUGAGGAAUACAUCGGAAUCUACUUUUUCGUGGGGGAUAACGUAGGGAAACUUACGCUAAUACCGCAUACGACCUACGGGUGAAAGCAGGGGAUCUUCGGACCUUGCGCGAUUGAAUGAGCCGAUGUCGGAUUAGCUAGUUGGCGGGGUAAAGGCCCACCAAGGCGACGAUCCGUAGCUGGUCUGAGAGGAUGAUCAGCCACACUGGAACUGAGACACGGUCCAGACUCCUACGGGAGGCAGCAGUGGGGAAUAUUGGACAAUGGGCGCAGGCCUGAUCCAGCCAUACCGCGUGGGUGAAGAAGGCCUUCGGGUUGUAAAGCCCUUUUGUUGGGAAAGAAAAGCAGCAGGUUAAUACCCCGCUGUUCUGACGGUACCCAAAGAAUAAGCACCGGCUAACUUCGUG
rnacentral:rRNA from 1 species